rnacentral:lncRNA from 10 species
UUUUAAGCUGCUAAGUUUGGGGAUAAUUUAUUAUGCAGCAAGAGAUAAUACACAGGACUUCUCAGAGCACUUAAUAUGUUAAUAUAAAUCUCCAAGAAAAAAGAUAUACAAUGAAACAUUCCUCUUAGUUAUCUGGCCAAGGAGACUUUCUUUUUUUGAGAAUAUUCUUCAGAAAGCUGAUCUAAUGAUAUGGCUCUGGUCCUACAAUUCCAUGUAACUUCUAACCUUGAUUUUGUCUCAUGAGCAAAUCAUUUAACCUUCCAGAACCUCAACUUUUCCCUUUCACAAAGUAGAAAUAAACCAUCUGCCUUUACAUAAAUCAUUAAUACAGCCCUGGAUGGGCAGAUUCUGAGCUAUUUUUGGCUGGGGGGUGGGAAAUAGCCUGUGGAGGUCCUAAAAAGAUCUACGGGGCUCGAGAUGGUUCUCUGCAAGGUAGCAGGUGGGCUCAAGGCUAGGGCAUGAACCUCCUCCAUCAGACUGGAAGAGCUUGUCCAGGAUAAAUGGCCAGUGUAUUCUUUUCCCCACCGCCAUCCCUAUCCACUGGACACCCCAUAGCCAUGGGCAGGAAGGAACAACAGAACUUUCUCUGGUUUACUUAAGAGUAAAUGUGACUUUCCUCCCUUUUCAAUUUGUUCUGUCUUUAUCCAAUAAAAGUAAAACUUGAAAACUG